rnacentral:rRNA from 1 species
CAAUAGCGUAUAUUAAAGUUGUUGCGGUUAAAAAGCUCGUAGUUGGAUUUCUGCCGAGGACGACCGGUCCGCCCUCUGGGUGUGUAUCUGGUUUGGCCUGGGCAUCUUCUUGGAGAACGUAGCUGCACUUGACUGUGUGGUGCGGUGUCCAGGACUUUUACUUUGAGGAAAUUAGAGUGUUUCAAGCAGGCACACGCCUUGAAUACAUUAGCAUGGAAUAAUAAGAUAGGACCUCGGUUCUAUUUUGUUGGUUUCUAGAGCUGAGGUAAUGAUUAAUAGGGAUAGUUGGGGGCAUUCGUAUUUAAUUGUCAGAGGUGAAAUUCUCGGAUUUAUGAAAGACGAACAACUGCGAAAGCAUUUGCCAAGGAUGUUUUCAUUAA